UCCCCACGUCCUUUCAAGAACAGCAAACAAUAGACCAGCCCAGCCCUGGAAGCCGCGCUGGCCACGGAGGGUGACGCAGAACUGCUCAUCUCCAGGGAAAGGCGACAUCCCGAGAGCCCUCCAGAGCAGAUCUGAGCUCUGCUGGGCGGGGAAGCGGAGACUGAUUCGCCGCGGUCGCGGGCCCAGCGGCUGGGAGGUCCCGCGCUGGCCGAGCAAAUGAGGAGGGCGCAGGGCACGGGGGCGGUGCGCGCCCAGGACAGUUUCCCGUCGGCUUCUCCCGGACUGUCCUACCACUUCCAUCUCGGAGCGGGAUGCUCGGAUCCCCGCAAGGCCUCCUGCGGACGUGGGAGAGUUGCUGAGACAGGUGAGAGUUGAUGAGGCUCAGCGUCUCCAGAUAAAAGAAGGGACAGAGCUGUCGGUGCGGUGAGGUUUGAAAAGUUGCGGCGGCCCCGGCAGCUGCAGGGGGCGAGCGCGGAGCAAAGCCCGGGCCGCACCAGACGGGCCCUGAGUCUCCAGGGCUCCUCGUCCCCAUGCGCCAGCGUGUCUGAUGCUUCACUGGACCCGGGUCUCUUUCUCAAUGUCAUCUCACAGCCUCUGUCCCUUGGGUAGGGAAUCAGGCUUCUGAGCUAUCAUCUGCUUAGUACCGUCGUCCUCUGCUUUGGAAAAUAUUUGAAUUGUGGUCUGAUAGAAGACAUGAAAAAGUUAGAAUACUACUAGAUUCCAAAGGGAAAAAAAAAGUUUCUUCGUUUACAAGUAGCAUCUACUGAUGGGAAUUUCUUAAUUGUUAUCAUUUAAGAAAAUACAGAACCAGGUUUGGAUCCAUGAAAACGAAUUGGUCUUCAGCCUUUCAAACACUGGCCAAAAAAAUUUGCAAAAGAAAAACACAGGCAUCAGGUAGCAGGCACAGUAUUAAAAAUUCAGACAGUUUUACUGUCGGAUCUUAAAAUAUAUUAGAAGUGUGUGACUUUCAUAAAGGACGAGAGAGAAUCAACUUCAUGCUAUUUCGAUAGGUAUUUUCUAGAUAUGCCAGAUAAUUUUGUCUUAUUAUCUCACAGAUUACUUGUUUCAGCCAUACACCAUGGGGAAAAAAAUGGCAAGGGGUUUGAAUGAUCGUUUCCAGAGCAGUUUUUCGUAGCUACAGUAGUACUUCCAUUUUACAAAUUCUCUGUGUUAGUCAUUCACUCAUAUAUUUCAUUCACCAAACAUUUAUUAAGGCUCUUCUAUGUGCUGUGUACAGUGCUAGACUUGGGAGAAGAGGGAUAAGUGGUGAGAGGGACAUACAAAAUUGAAUUAGAAAAAUUCACAGUUUAGGCAACUGGAAAUGCUAGGAAGCAGUUGUAAACCACUAUGAUACAUUCUUGUCGUGAGACGCCACCAGGGCAGCCCCUGCUAAUGGCCGGGAGAGGUACACUGACCACAGCUGAGUUUCGGGGUUCAUCUGCGUGGUGGCCUUUGCUCUUUCAAGGCAGCCACUAUUGGUUCCAUUUACAACAGGAGGAGACCAACACUAAAAGUGCAGUGAUGAGCCUCAUGUCUCACAGUUAGUCAGGCUCCUAAUCCAAAAGCCACUGCUAUGACCUGCGCUUCCGGACAUUCUGCCAUUUGAUCCCUACAACCUCACUACCUGAAGGACUAUAUUUUGAUCAUUCUUAAUGGGCCAGCUUCAAACCCCGUCAAGUUUUGAAGAGGGCAGAUGAAGCUGAUGACAGCUCCAGUUCCAGCUAUGGGUGACCUGUCUGUCUGCCUUUUUUGAGCUGUGGAGUGAUCAGAGUCAUAUUCGCUGCCUGUGCAGUACCACAGGCCUGAUGAAAAUGAAAUGGCAACACCACACAGAUGGCGAAGCGUAGGUCUCACAAGCGUCCUGGCCACGAAGCGUUGUCUUCAGCUUCGAUGUCUUAGCCUUGAGAGAGCAGCAGGGCCAUUCAGCAGUCAUUUAGCCACAGGAAUGUCCGUCACUGAAGGCUGUUUCUGCUGUUGUAUUCUGUCUCAGACCUAGAUGCCUGCAGUUUCCUCGGAUUGAAAACAUGGAGGGAUCUCCUGGUGCAGUGAGUCCAGCAUAUCCAGAGUGAAGCACAGUCACUGGUCAUUUUACACUACAUGGAAAAUCUCAACAAGUUUCAAAUUUUGAUAUUUUGGGUAUCUCUCCACUCUCCUCCGCAUCCAGUACAUCACCGCCAUGGGCUGAAUGUUUGUGUCCCGGCAAAUUUCUGUGUUGAAAUCUAAGCCCCAAGAUGAUGGUAUCAGAGAUGAGGGCUUUGGCAGGUGGUUAAGCCGUGAAGACAGAGGCCUGAUGAAAGGGGUUGGUGCCUUUAGAAAAGAGGCCUCAGAUAGCUGUCCCGUCCCUUCUACCAUGUGGGAAUGAAGAGAGACAGUAUCACCUGUGAACCAGAAGGUGGCGCUCACCAGACAUUGAAUCUGCUGAUGCAGUGUUCUCGGAUGUGAACCAGAAAAUCUGAGACGGGUCUUAGUUAAUUUGGAAAGUUUAUUUUGCCAAGGUUGAGGACGUGCUUGUGACACAGCCUCAGGAAAUCCUGAUGACAUGUGCCCAAGGUGGUCAGGGCACAGCUUGGUUUUAUACAUUUAGGGAGACAUGAGGCAUCAAUUAAUAUAUGUAAGAAACACUGGUUCGGUCUGGAAAGGCGGGAAAACUUGAAGCAAAGGCAGGAAGGCUGGAAGCAGGGAGGGAGCUUCCAGGCCACAGAUAGGUGAUACACAAAUGGUUACAUCCUUUUGAAUUUCUCAUUAGCCUUUCCAAAGGUGGCAAAUCAGAUAUGCAUCUAUCUCAGUGAGUAGAGGAAUGGCUUUGAAUAGAAUGGGAGGCAGGUUUGCCCUAAGCAGUUCCCGGCUUGAGUUUUCCUUAGUGAUUUUGGAGUCCCAAGAUAUUUUCCUUUCACAUGGACUUCCCAGCCUUUAGAACUGUCAGAGAUAAAUGUCUGUUGUUUAUAAGCCACCCAGUUUAUGGCAUUUUGUUAUAGCAGCCCAAACCAAAUAAGAAGACCGCCAGCCAGUUCUACCUAAACAGUCCCUCCAUGUGUCCACCAUCCUGAGUCCCCAUUACCACGCCUUGUCCAGACCCCAGCAUUUCUGUGACUUGAUGCAAUAUAAGUUUACUGCCUAAAUAACAGGUACAGGACUUUGUGUGGACAAAUGUGCUCUUUUCUCCUGGGGUAAUAUCUACGUACAAAUGACUGGGUCACGUGGUAGGUAUUUUUAACUUUUUAAAAAACUACCAAACUGUUUUCCAUAGUCUUUGCACCAUUUCACUUUCCCACCAGCAAUGAAUGAGUGUUCCAGUAACUCUGCAUUCUCAACAGCACUUGUUAUCAUCAGCACUUGUUAUCAUCACCUUAAAGAGUUUCAGCCAUUCUAAAGGUGUGUAGUGGUUUUCUCCCCACCUUUUAAUUUUCUUAAUAGUGCCCUUCAAAAAACAGAAGUUUUUAAUUUUGAUGAAAUCUAGUUUACCAAUUGUUUUCUUUUAUGGAUUGUGCUUUUUGUUGUUACAUGUAUGAAAUCUUUGCCUAACCCGAGAGUGCAAUAUUUUUUUUCCAUGUGUUCUUACAGAAGUCUUAUAUAUCUAUGUUUUACAUUUAGGUCUACGAUCAAUUUCAGUUAAUUUUCAUAUAGGGCCUAAGAUAUGGAUUCAGGUUCAUUUUCUGGCACAUGAACAUCCAUCUGUUCCAGCACCAUUUGGUGAAAAAAUGAUACUUUUCCAUUGAAUUACUUUUGCAUUUUUAUUGAAAAUAAGACAAAAUUCCAAAUACCAUAAUCCUGAAUGCUAAAAUCCCAAAAGAUCAAAGAUCCUAAAGUAUAAAUCCCUAAAGUCUAAAAUUCUGAAAAUCACAAUCACAGGAUAGGGUUUUUUUUCCUUUUCUUCUAUUUUUUUCACUAUUUUAAAUAGCAAAACAAUUCACUAUGCUAUAUAUUUCAUCGUUGCAUCAUUUCCAAAACUUGACGUAUAGGUUGUGCAGAGACGUUUAGAGAGUCCUAAUUUGUUUCAUGCAUUUUUUUGCAAAUGUGACUCCAUGAAAGUUCAUUAUCUCAAUGUUGAUUUUGUGUAUAAACAUUGUGUAUGUACAUGAAAACAUUGAAACCUCCUCAGUGAUGUCCUUUUUGUACACCUGCAUUUGUAAAAGACAACAUUUUUUGAGAUCUCAGCUCUUUGGGUGACUGCAUAUGUAGUGGUAAUCCAUUGUGGUUUUUGAUCAAUCUUGUCAAAAGACUUCGGUUUUUUAUCACAGUAUUUCAGAUGAGCACAUAUACAAAGCUGGUUGCACACAAUUACCAAUCAUAGUGAUAUGUGUUUACACAUUUUCCUUUUGACCUACUUCUUUAGGAAUACAGUUUAUCUGCUCAUAAAUGCUAUAUCUGUGCCAGGUAUAGUCGUAUACCUGAGUAUUUAUUCUUGCAAAAACAUGUACGCUAGUAUUGCUUCUUUUAUUGUGUAAAGCGGCCUAUGAAGUGUUCUGUUGUGUUUUUAUAUGUUUCUCAAAUAAAUCCCCCCCUCCCUUUUUUUUUGAGAUGCAGUCUCAUGUUGUUGCCAAGGCUGGAAUGUAGUGGUGUGAUUUGGGCUCACUGCAAACUCCGCCUCCCGGAUUCAAGCGAUUAUCCUGCCUCAGCCUCCCGAAUAGCUGGGAUUACAGGCAUGCACCACCAGGCCGGGCUAAUUUUUGUAUUUUUAGUAAAGAUGGAGUUUCACCAUGUUGGCCAGGCUGGUCUUGAACUCCUGACCUCAGGUGAUCCACCUGCCUCAGCCUCCCAAAGUGCUGGGAUUACAGGAGUGAGCCACUGUGCCCACACCCACUCCCCUUAAAAUGUAAGUAAAUAUCUUCAGGAAUUUUUAAAAUUAUUUUUUCCAGAAUUAUAUUUUCAGGAUUUUGGAUUUUAGGGAUUUUUGAUCUUUCAGAAUUUUAAGAGCUGGGAUUGUGUCUUUCAAGACUGCUUCUUCAGGGACUAUGACGGGCUUCCCUCUAGACAGCAUGGGCUAGGAAGCAUGUUCUGGAAUGUGACAUUUAAGCUGAGAACUGAAUUGUACAAAAAACCUAGCCACGCCAAUUACCCUAAGUGAAUUAAUGCAAAAAUAGAAAUCCAAAUACCACAUGUUUUCACUUAUAAGUGGGAGGCAAGCAUUGGGUGCACAGGGACAUAAAGAUGGGAAAAUAGACACUGGGGAUUCCAAAAGGCAGGAGGAAGGGAGAGGGUUGAAAACUUACCUAUUGGGCACUGUGUUCACUAUCUGGGUGAUGGGAUCAGUUGAAGCCCAAACCUCACUGUCAUGCAAUAAAUCCUUGUAACAAACCACUCACGUAGCUCCUGAAUCCAAAAGAAAAAAAAAACCAAAAAACAAUAUUAACUUUUACCCGAAAACCACCUAGCCACAGAAACCAGGGGGCAGUGGUGGAGAGGAGGCCCCAGGAGGAUUCUAGGUGAGGUGGCUGGACAUGCAGAAGCCCUGCUGGGGAAGGAAGAGGUUUUGUGUUUAGGAAGUGAAAGCCCAGGUAGCUGAGCUGUGGCGAGCCGGGAAGAAUGAAGGGAUGAGACAGCAGAGACACAGGCUUCGGUUCUGGGGGUCCUGCUGCUGCCCCACCUCCUCAAUGGUCCUCCUGGCCCCUCUCUGCUAAGCAGGAAGCAAUGGCAUCUUUUUUUUUUUUUCUUUUUUUGAGACGGAGUCUGGCUCUGUCGCCCAGGCUGGAAUGCAGUGGCGCAAUCUCGGCUCACUGCAAGCUCCGCCUCCUGGGUUCACACCAUUCUCCUGCCUCAGCCUCCCGAGUAGCUGGGACUACAGGCGCCCGCCACCACGCCCGGCUAAUUUUUUGUAUUUUUAGUAGAGACGGGGUUUCACCGUGUUGGCCAGGAUGGUCUCGAUCUCCUGACCUCGUGAUCCGCCUGCCUUGGCUUCCCAAAGUGCUGCGAUUACAGGCAUGAGCCACCGCGCCCGGCCACAAUGGCAUCUUUUACCCAUGAAGUUGUCGGCACAGUUGGGAAAUAGCAGGCAGUUCCAGCGGAGUUUCUCAAGGCUUGGAUUUGGCUAGGAAGUUAGGCGGUAGUGGGGACAGACUCAGAGGUUUUAGGAAUGACCACCCUGUUUCCAGUAUGUAGGAAAAUGACUUCUUGAGACAGAAAACUCUGAAAUUCUUUUUUUUUUUUUUUUUUCAGAUGGAGUUUCGCUCUUGUCACCCAGGCUGGAGUGCAAUGGUGUGAUCUCGGCUCACUGCAUCCUCCGUCUGCUGGGUUCAAGCGAUUCUCCUGCCUCAGCCUCUCAAGUAGCUGGAAUUACAGGUGCCCGCCACCAUGCCCAGCUAAUUUUUGUAUUUUUAGUAGAGACGGGGUUUCGCCACGUUGGCCAGGCUAGUCUCGAACUCCUGGCCUCAGGUGAUCCACCCACCUCAGCCUCCCAAAGUGCUGGGAUUACAGGCAUGAGCCACCACACCCGGCUGAAAUUCUUUUUGUUUUAUUUUUGUCAAACUUGGUGGCAGAGUGUGCAAAAGAACAGAAUGAGGUUUUGGAAAUGUUGGAUUUGUAGUAUUUUUGUGAUGUCCGGUUGAAGAUGUGAGGCAGCCAGUUACAAUUGUGGAUCUGCAGCCUGUGGGAGAGCCCUGGGUUAUUGGUGUGAAUUCAGGACUUGGUGGUGGGUUCCUUUCCUGUGGUUGCUGUAACAAAGGACCACAGCACAGCGGCUUGAGCAACAGAUGCCUUCUCCUUCAUGGCUCCGGAGGCAGAAAGCCUGCGGGCGAGGUGUCAUCAGGCUUCUCCUAGGGCUGUGAGGGGCCUGCUCCAGGCCUCCAUCCUCACUUCCGGCAGCCUUGGGCACUCCUGGGCUUCUAGGUGGCCACCUUCUCCCUGGGUCAUUAUGUCGUCUUCCUCUGUGUGGUUCUGCCUCUGCAUCCAAAUUUCCCUGCUCUGUAAGGACCCUGGAUUAUGCCCCACCCCAAUCACCUAAAGCUUACCUGCAUCCUCUGCAGAUACCUUUUUUCUAAAUGGGCCACAUGGAUAGGUACUGCGGGCUAGGACUUCAAUGUCUUUUGGGGGACACAAUUCUACCUCUAGCAGAUGGUGAUGCAGCUGUAAGCCUGGGUGACAUCACCUGGAGAGAGUUAGGGGUAAGAGCAGAAGAGGCCACGUGCCCAGCCUGGAAGAACUGUGUGAGUUCAUAAUAACAGUGGCCAAGGAGGGGAGAGAGGAGAGAGGCGAGGGGAGCAGGCAACAGGGAAACACAGAGGCGGCAGCCCAGAGCUCGGAGGAGGAGAGGCUGUGAAGGAGGGUGAGGUAUAGUCUCAAAUGCUGCUGAAAGGUUAAGUAUGUUGCAGUAAUUUGAAGGCUAAAACAUGCCAUUGGAUUUCAUAGUCAGGCAUCACCUGUGCCCUGUGCCUGAACUGCUGUGGUGUAGAUGAGCCUGGCUGAGGAAGCAGCCAGCCAGAGGGGAAGGAGUGGAGCCAGGCUCCGGGCCUGCUUAAGGGUUGGAAGAGGGUAGACCAGCUGCCAGAAGGCGCAUGGGCUCGGGCAGGGAGAGGCUUUUAAAAACGGGAGGGAUCUUAGAAGAAAGAGGAUCCAGUGGGUUGGAGAAAGUAAAGGGGUCAGCACGGCAGGUCCGGGAGUUGAAGGAGCAGCGGUGAGGGCUGACUGAGCAAGCGAUCUGCGAUCUGCUGGGAGAGGCUCCGGCGCUGAUCCCAUAGAUUCGCAGCGAUUUCGGAAGAUGAGUCCGGGGUGUGGCUGUGGGAAGGAUGGUCAGACAUAUUUUUCCUCUAUUGUAUUAAUGUCUUAUGUGAAGAUGGAGUAACCUCUUGGCUACCUAAUAUAUAUAUACAUAUAUAUAUAUAUAUAUAUCUAUCACAUCUUCUCACACAUUUAAUUGUAAAAAUGCUCCUACUUAAUCCUAAUCCAGCCACCUUCUGUGCAAUUCCAAAUGUGCUCACCUUCUCCCCAGUGGGUAACAAUCCAAAAUCACAUACAGGUUCUGUACUGUGAAGUGACACAAUUUAGCCCCUCUGAGUUCAGGUUUUCUAGGUAGUGUCAAUUCCUCCAUUAGCUUGGAUUUGAUCAGGUUUGUGACUUCUCACCAUUCUGCAGAUUAUGGCAUAAAUGAUAAAAGUAGCUUCUCCUGCCUACCCGAUACAGUGAAAUGGAAUAAAAAUCAAACCAAAAACGGGGAAAGAAGUGCCUACAUUGAUAACUGGUACAGAUUAUAUAAUAGCAUAUCUCGCUGAGCAAGCUUAGCAGGAUGAAUGAUAGAAACAAUGGGUCUCAUGAGCAUUCUCUUUGUUGCCUCACUUCUCUGGAUGUAGAAUAAAUUGUUGGAACCACCUUCAGAAAAGGCACCAAGGGAGGAUUUCCUACUGGUGCUUGUGGUGGUGAUGGCAGGCAGGUGUUUGAGGAGAUGCUAGUGAAUGGCUUUGAUCCUGGCACUUGUGGUGGUGAUGGCAGGCAGGUGUUUGAGGAGAUGCUAGUGAAUGGCUUUGAUCCUGGCACUUCAAUGUUGGGGCUUGGUUUAGGGUCUACCAUAAUGCUGGACGGUCACAGGUCUCUGUACAACAGGCUAGGGACUUUUUUUGACAGUACAACUUCCCUAAAACUGUAACUAAUUUCUUCACAGUUGUAUUUAGGAUCUUGUAUCCAAUGCCAGAAAUCUUGUCUUGUUCUCAAUUUGCUAAAGGAAUAGACAUGGUCCACACAACCUUUAGGCCUUUUGUUUGUUUGUUCUUUUUUCGCAUUUUGUCAAGAGGAUCUUUCUAUGACUCUAACUCAGCCACAUAGAGUUUGCCUCUGGAAUAGUUAGGAGUCUUUCUUUAAUCUUCCCUUGAGUGUCACCCUUGUCCUUUCAUUGCAUUUCAGACCAGCGCAUUUAGCAAUAGAAAAAGGCACCUUCAUUUUUGUUUGUAAGAUCCAGCAUGGUGGCGUGGACCUGUAGUCCCAGCUACUCGGGAGACUGAGGUGGAGAGGAUUGCUUGACCCCAAAGGGUAAAGGCUGUAGUAAGCCAUGAUCAUGCCACUGCACUCCAGAAUGGGCAACAGAGCUAGACCCUGUCUCAAAAAAAAAAUUAUUGCCAUAAUAUUUGUAACAUUCUUUCAUUACAU
rnacentral:lncRNA from 10 species